AAGGGACCUAGAACACACAAACUAACAUUGUCAUCCUAUCUGUAAACAUGCUAUAACAAUUACUCACCUGAAGAAGAGCUACCUGCAAUACAGGCAUGUACUACUAGAUUGCUUUCCUCUAACAGAUCCUACUAGCUGUGACCUCAAAAAGAUGUGCAUACCGGUCUCUACUUGGAAACACAUCAGUCCAUAGACUCCAACACACCCAAAGAACCCUGCAACUGACUGAAGGAAAAAGAAAGCACUUACCCCAAAGAGCAGCCCAGGCAGAAUGAGCUCUCUGAAGGCAUGUCUGGGGCUCAUAUACCAUUUGGCCCCACCCAGCACCCAAAGCUGAUCACCUGGGAAAGGGGAGGGGCAAAGCACAAGAAAGUAGAAAGAGAGCAGAAGAAGCAGCUGAUGUUUA